CGACUACAUGAAGCUGGAAUGCUAGUAAUCGCGGAUCAGAAUGCCGCGGUGAAUACGUUCCCGGGUCUUGUACACACCGCCCGUCACACCAUGGGAGUCGGAAAUGCCCGAAGUCCGUGACCGAACCGAAAGGAAGGAGCAGCCGAAGGCAGGUCGGAUGACUGGGGUGAAGUCGUAACAAGGUAAC
rnacentral:rRNA from 1 species